UCCACCUGCUGUACACUGCACUGCCGGAGACAAUACCGAAAGCUUUGCCGCGAAACCCUACAUAUAAUUACAUCGACCUCAUUCGAUAGUAGCCCACGUUUGUGUGUGCGUCCCUAGAACACUGGAACACUUCGCGAUAGAACAAAACGGAUGCUUCCAAGUUGCCUGGAGCAGUCCAGAGUCCUCAUCGGUUUCUCGGGCAUUAGAGGACGCCAAUGCUUUUCCGUAGGAACGUUCAACUACAGAGCGUUUUGACCCAACAGGACGCAAAGAGUUUAAAACGUUAUCCACGUGUGUUGUCAUUUGGUCCCCUGGGGGAGCGUACUAGGCAGCGUCAUCUCUUCCGUAAUUCUUUUUCAGGAGCAAACCUCCGCUGAGUUCUUCUGUCGGUCGUACCAAAAAGGCAGGUAAAUUCUGGGAUGAGCUAAAGCGAAAGCCAAACAAACCGUCGUUCCAAGAUAACUCAAUACUGAGACAAUGCAUCAUUGCGCCAUCUCCUAUGACGAACAAAAAGGGGCCGUGCGCCCUUUCAAAGCGAACCCCUAUAAGCUGCUAUUUGAGAAUGUCGAACCUUUAAGCUGGAAAGGUUAUGACCUAACCUGCCAUAGCUCAGUCGGAUCUUAGAGUCUGCGCAGAGAACAGGGAUCCAGGGCGUCACAAGGUUAACUUCACUGCUUAGCAUAUAUAUGAGAAAUCCCGAAGCGUGACAAGGGACUGUAUGGGAUGUCUGGGUUGCCGACUUUGUCGCGCCGGCAACAUCGAUGACUUUUGCUGCGAUGGAAAAGGUAGAAACGAGCAAAAUUCUCAACGCUAAAAGUCGCUGGCGGAUGCCAAUGUACAACAGUGGCGCUAGAACGUUUCGAUAACUGUGCAUCUACAUCGUCGGCUUAGGUACAGCGAAGUCAAAGUGGGCCGCAAUGGCCACGGAUGUCACAUUCGCUGGAGUAUGGCUAUCUGGGACUGGUAAAAGAGGAUGAUUUUUAUGUUAGGACGAGUCUGCCGCUCAGCUGGAACUACCCUGAAUGUGUUUGACACGCUGAAUUUAUGCCGGCACAAUUCUGUUUCCUGCUGAAGCCGGCAGCAAAUCGCUUACUGGUAGCGGCGGUGGUAAUGGAACUGAAUUAGGGAAGAGGCUAAUGUUUUCUACCAGUUACUAUUAAAGCCAGUAUUGUUUCUGCUGUUGGACCAACGAAUCAGCGACUAGGACACCGUUUAGGCCUGUAACGAUAAUAGCCGCCAUCGC